AAAAAAGAAAGAAAAGAACGGUGAUACGUUCAUCAGCAGCAGGUUGCGCGUUCUUUUCCCUGUCGUUCUUUUUUUUUAACUUCUUUGUUUCCUUCUUUGGACUGACGUGAGCUAUAGUAGAAGAAGAAGUA
rnacentral:ribozyme from 1 species